rnacentral:rRNA from 1 species
UACCAGCCCCUCGAGUGGUCAGGAGGUUUAUUGGGCCUAAAGCAUCCGUAGCCGGCUGUUCAAGUUUCCGGUUAAAUCCACACGCUUAACGUAUGGGCUGCCGGAAAUACUGUUCAGCUAGGGAGUGGGAGAGGUAGACGGUACUCGAUAGGAAGGGGUAAAAUCCUUUGAUCUAUUGAUGACCACCUGUGGCGAAGGCGGUCUACCAGAACACGUUCGACGGUGAGGGAUGAAAGCUAAAAGAGCAAACCGG